CAGAUGUAACACCCCUUCUUGGAGUGUCACAAGAAAUUUUUCCAAAAUACACUUUUACAUUUAAAAUCACACAUUUAUUAAUAUUAUACAAUGAGAACGUCAAAGUUUUCAAGAGUAAUUAUUGGAAUACAAACCAACUCUUAAAAGUAGAUUAAAAUUACAAACCACAACGUUUCAUAAUUUAAAAUACAUAAUUAAAAGUCCCAAAGAGUGUUUCCCCAACGCAUCCUCGCACUAAACAUCUUCAGUUUUACCUGAAACAUCAUCUACUCCCGUAUAACAACACGAGUUAUACGAUCAUCGUAGACACACAAGUAGGGUGAGCUAACCGAAUACAAAAAAGCACAAGUACAGAUAAACUUACUUACAGACUUUAAAUAUUUAAUAAUAUUAUUAGUGUAUUAAUAAGAUUAUAUUAUCUCUCAUCUCUUACUCGUAAUAAUUGGAUUUAUCUCGGUUCUUCUUGUUCACACACACAUAUAACAAAACUAGUCCCUCAUAUAGGCCGCAGAUAAGAGUCAUCCUAAGCACACUGCUUUUGGACAUAUCUCCCUGGUUCUACAAGGACUUACGAGUAAAAACAUUGGUGAGUAAUAUCCAUUCACCAAGCACAAUACUCAGCACAAGUCAGAACCCUUGGCGAGAUAUCUGUACCCUUUUGAAAGAGGAAAAUUAACAGGACUCGAAUCCACCUAUCGCCUUACAUAGGCAAAAGGAAAUCAUCCUUUUUAAAUAUCGAGAUAAAUAUAAAUCACCCCAAUGAUACAUGACAAGCCUAGGAAAUGAAUAAGGAUUAUUUAUUAAACUCAAAGAAUCAUACAUUAACUUGAAUUAAGUCUAAAAACACGUUCAAAAUGACGUGUUGUUUAUUUUGAUCUUUACUCACUGUUUUAUUCGUAACUUUCUCUACAGUGUUCCAAAUGAAGAAAUUCUUGUUUUGUUGAAUUCUAGACUCUAAAAUCUUUCUCUUAAGACCAAACUCGUAAUUUUUGGGAUCACAAGAUUAACUACAGUAAAAUAAUUAAAAUUGACAUUUUUCUAAGUUUACUAUAUGGGUUUACUAUCAAUCUCUCUUUGAUUCAAUUUCUAGCAGUAAUUGAAACAUUAUUCAAAGGAUACAAGUAACAUGUUUUUAAAAUAAUUCAAUAAAAUGAAUUAUAGAAGAUAUCAAGUAAUAGCCUUCUAGGCUUUUAGUAAAAUAUGCAAUAGUAUUUUUUUUUAGUAAAAUAUGCAAUAGUAUAUAACAUUAUAUAUUUGAGAUAUCAAAAUAAAGAAUUACCGGUUAUUCAAAAUAAGCAAGUCUAGCAACUUUUUCUAUAAAAAAUUAUAUAUGAAAUAUAAUAAAAGAUAAACCAACAACCCAUACUAUUUGGAACAAAAGCUGUUGUAUCAAAAAUUAAUUAUAAUUGGGCAGCAAAUGAAUUAAAUAAUAUUUCUAUAAUUUAAAAUUUCAAGGUAGGUUUCUCUGCUUCACGUGAUUUCUCUUCAUCAUAGACAUGUAUUAUUUGAUUUUUGGAUAGACUCAAUAGUAUGACAUGUUGCAGCCUUUAGAUAUAAUAAUAAUAAAGAGUAUGUAUGAUUUGAAUUUGUGACAGCAAAAAUAACAAAAAUGAUGGGUAUAAUUAGAUAAUAAGAGAAUCUGGUAUAAUGAUAAAAGGGAAAUAAACACAAAAAUUCUGCUACUUUGGAAAGAAAAGAGCUCACGGUUUCCUGCAGAGAACAUGAGUAGUAAAGAAUUCUGAAUAAUAAUUAAGUAAUAAUACCCAAGAAAUAAUCCUACAAUGGAAAUUAAUUAAGUUCCAUUUCGGUAGACCUAUAAUAGGGAAUAAAUGAAAGAUUACAACAGUCUAAAGUGGGAUGAUUAUCUUUCCUUUCUUCUCAUUCUUCAAGAAAGCGUAACAACAAUUUACUGACUCCUACAGAGCUGUGAGGUCAAGUUUUUUUCAGAGUCUUAUAAAACCAUUAAGCAUUUCAUUAUGUAUCUCACAGAUUCAUGAGACAAGGCAGAAAAAUAUGCGACGGCAAUAUCAAGCAACAACCAAAAGAUUUCAGAUUUACACUACAAGGUAUUCAUACAAUCUAGAGAAAGGUUUAACUCCCCUACCUCAAUCCAGAAAGCUUUGCUACCUCUCUUGCUCUACUGUUACUUUCUUGAAGGAUCUAUGCCUCUAUGAGACGUUCAUAAAAUUUUCAGUUCACUCUUCUAUAUUUUUUAUUGUUUU
rnacentral:lncRNA from 1 species